AGCGCUGAAAGCAUCUAAGCGCGAAGCCCUCCCCAAGAUGAGGCCUCCCACCCCCUCGAGGGGGUAAGGCCACGGGAAGACCACCCGUUAGAUAGGCGGCAGGUGUAAGCCGGGCAACCGGUGUAGCUGAGCCGUACUAAUGGCCGAGGGCUUGACCACUACACCACC
rnacentral:rRNA from 1 species